rnacentral:misc_RNA from 1 species
UGGUGUGGGAGUUGAUGAUACAAGAAAUAAUGCAACUACGAGUAAAAGAACAAAUGGGAAAUUCAGUUCUUUUCUUUUUUAAAAGAAAGUGACAACAGGAGAUGCUUCUGCAACAGAACAAUGUCUUCAAACAACUUGAUCACUUGGAGUCUCAUUAGUUAAGCACUACAGGAACAUAUAUGCUUCUGUCUGCUCCUUCUACAUGCCUUUCUAUAGCCUCAACAACAGCUUGAGUAACAUCUUUCACAUCUAGACCACGUUCUUCUUCAGCUAUAACAAUGGCUUCCAUGGAAAAGUAGAAGUUGCGUGACACCCUAGCAUGCAACACAAUUAGGCCCAUUUCUUCACAGACCUCUAGUAUUGGAAUCAGAUUAUCUCCUCCCUUCUGGGAAAUCACCUUUACCAGAAAUCCUUUCCCAACUUUGUCUACCUUCACCUUGGGCAAGUACUGGACCUGCUUCACCAGGCUCAAGUAUUCUCUUUUGAUUGCAUCUAAGUUAGAAAGUUCUCUUUUGAUUGCCUCCAACUUGAGUUUGAGCUUGUAAAUGUAGAGAGUAGCAUCUGCAAUGAUAGAGCUUCUUUUCACCUUCAUAAACAACAAAAGAGAGAGAAUAAGCUUUAAAUUACAGAUUUGGAGCAGGUGAGUGUUCUUAGAAUGUGAAUCUUUAUAAUGUAAUUGCUCUUAUUAUUUUAUAUUAUUUUGUUGAGUGGCUAAAGUGGCUUUCAUUCGUAUCCCUCUAAGGAAUAAUGGCAAAUCUCUUGCUGUGAAUUUAUUCCAGUAUCUCAUUAAUCUAAUCUACUAAGCCACAGUCACAGAUGCCCAUAACCUACAGUAACACUUGGAGGAUGGUUUUUAACUUAUAUUUAAGGCUUU